rnacentral:rRNA from 1 species
GAUGAACGCUGGCGGCGUGCCUAAUACAUGCAAGUCGAGCGAACGGACGAGAAGCUUGCUUCUCUGAUGUUAGCGGCGGACGGGUGAGUAACACGUGGAUAACCUACCUAUAAGACUGGGAUAACUUCGGGAAACCGGAGCUAAUACCGGCUAAUAUUUUGAACCGCAUGGUUCAAAAGUGAAAGACGGUCUUGCUGUCACUUAUAGCUGGAUCCGCGCUGCAUUAGCUAGUUGGUAAGGUAACGGCUUACCAAGGCAACGAUGCAUAGCCGACCUGAGAGGGUGAUCGGCCACACUGGAACUGAGACACGGUCCAGACUCCUACGGGAGGCAGCAGUAGGGAAUCUUCGGCAAUGGGCGAAGGCCUGACGGAGCAACGCCGCGUGAGUGAUGAAGGUCUUCGGAUCGUAAAACUCUGUUAUUAGGGAAGAACAGAUGUGUAAGUAACUGUGCACAUCUUGACGGUACCUAAUCAGAAAGCCACGGCUAACUACGUG